rnacentral:rRNA from 1 species
CAGCCGCCACGGUAAUACGUAGGGUGCGAGCGUUAAUCGGAAUUACUGGGCGUAAAGCGUGCGCAGGCGGUUUUGUAAGACAGGCGUGAAAUCCCCGGGCUCAACCUGGGAAUGGCGCUUGUGACUGCAAAGCUAGAGUGCGGCAGAGGGGGGUGGAAUUCCGCGUGUAGCAGUGAAAUGCGUAGAUAUGCGGAGGAACACCGAUGGCGAAGGCAGCCCCCUGGGCCAAUACUGACGCUCAUGCACGAAAGCGUGGGGAGCAAACAGGAUUAGAUACCCCUGUAGUCCCUGUCUCUUAUAC